UAGGGAAUAUUGCACAAUGGGCGAAAGCCUGAUGCAGCAACGCCGCGUGCAGGAUGAAGGCCCUAUGGGUUGUAAACUGCUUUUGUACGGGACGAAACUCCCGAUCGUGAUCGGGACUGACGGUACUGUACGAAUAAGCAUCGGCUAACUCCGUGCCAGCAGCCGCGGUAAUACGGAGGAUGCAAGCGUUAUCCGGAUUCAUUGGGUUUAAAGGGUGCGUAGGCGGGGCGGUAAGUCAGUGGUGAAAGCCUGCAGCUUAACUGUAGAAUUGCCAUUGAUACUGUCGCUCUUGAAUGCGGUUGAGGCAGGCGGAAUGUGUAAUGUAGCGGUGAAAUGCUUAGAUAUUACACAGAACACCGAUUGCGUAGGCAGCUUGCUAAACCGUGAUUGACGCUGAGGCACGAAAGCGUGGGGAGCAAACAG
rnacentral:rRNA from 1 species